AGAACGAACGCUGGCGGCAGGCUUAACACAUGCAAGUCGAGCGCCCAGCAAUGGGAGCGGCGGACGGGUGCGUAACACGUGGGAACAUGCCUUUCGGUACGGAACAACUGCGGGAAACUGCAGCUAAUGCCGUAUACGCCCUUACGGGGAAAGAUUUAUCGCCGAAAGAUUGGCCCGCGUCUGAUUAGCUAGUUGGUGAGGUAACGGCUCACCAAGGCUUCGAUCAGUAGCUGGUUUGAGAGAACGACCAGCCACACUGGGACUGAGACACGGCCCAGACUCCUACGGGAGGCAGCAGUGGGGAAUCUUGGACAAUGGGCGAAAGCCUGAUCCAGCCAUGCCGCGUGAGUGAUGAAGGCCUUCGGGUUGUAAAACUCUUUACCUGGGAAGAUAAUGACUGUACCAGGAGAAUAAGCCCGGCUAACUUCGCGCCAGCAGCCGC
rnacentral:rRNA from 1 species